rnacentral:rRNA from 1 species
CACGUAGGGUGCGAGCGUUGUCCGGAAUUAUUGGGCGUAAAGAGCUCGUAGGCGGUGUGUCGCGUCGGCCGUGAAAACCUGCAGCUUAACUGUGGGCGUGCGGUCGAUACGGGCAUCACUGGAGUUCGGCAGGGGAGACUGGAAUUCCUGGUGUAGCGGUGAAAUGCGCAGAUAUCAGGAGGAACACCGGUGGCGAAGGCGGGUCUCUGGGUAGAUACUGACGCUGGAGGUGCGAAAGCGUGGGGAGCAAACAGG